GAUGAACGCUGGCGGCGUGCUUAACACAUGCAAGUCGAACGGUGAAGGCGGAGCUUGCUCUGCUGGAUCAGUGGCGAACGGGUGAGUAACACGUGAGCAAUCUGCCCCUGACUCUGGGAUAAGCGCUGGAAACGGCGUCUAAUACUGGAUACGAGCUGCGAAGGCAUCUUCAGCAGCUGGAAAGAAUUUCGGUCAGGGAUGAGCUCGCGGCCUAUCAGCUUGUUGGUGAGGUAAUGGCUCACCAAGGCGUCGACGGGUAGCCGGCCUGAGAGGGUGACCGGCCACACGGGGACUGGGACACGGCCCAGACUCCUACGGGAGGCAGCAGUGGGGAAUAUUGCACAAUGGGCGAAAGCCUGAUGCAGCAACGCCGCGUGAGGGACGACGGCCUUCGGGUGGUAAACCUCUUUUAGCAGGGAAGAAGCGAAAGUGACGGUACCUGCAGAAAAAGCGCCGGCUAACUACGU
rnacentral:rRNA from 1 species